UAACACGUAGGCAACCUGCCCUUUAGCCUGGGAUAACUACCGGAAACGGUAGCUAAUACCGGAUACUUUCUUUUUCUGCAUGGGAGAAGAACGAAAGACGGAGCAAUCUGUCACUGAAGGAUGGGCCUGCGGCGCAUUAGCUAGUUGGUGGGGUAACGGCUCACCAAGGCGACGAUGCGUAGCCGACCUGAGAGGGUGAUCGGCCACACUGGGACUGAGACACGGCCCAGACUCCUACGGGAGGCAGCAGUAGGGAAUCUUCCGCAAUGGGCGAAAGCCUGACGGAGCAACGCCGCGUGAGUGAUGAAGGUUUUCGGAUCGUAAAGCUCUGUUGCCAGGGAAGAACGUCUUGGAGAGUAACUGCUCUGAGAGUGACGGUACCUGAGAAGAAAGCCCCGGCUAACUACGUGCCAGCAGCCGCGGUAAUACGUAGGGGGCAAGCGUUGUCCGGAAUUAUUGGGCGUAAAGCGCGCGCAGGCGGCCGUUUAAGUCCGGUGUUUAAUCCCGAAGCUCAACUUCGGGUCGCACUGGAAACUGGAGGGCUUGAGUGCAGAAGAGGAGAGUGGAAUUCCACGUGUAGCGGUGAAAUGCGUAGAGAUGUGGAGGAACACCAGUGGCGAAGGCGACUCUCUGGGCUGUA
rnacentral:rRNA from 1 species